UACGUAGGGUGCAAGCGUUGUCCGGAAUUAUUGGGCGUAAAGAGCUCGUAGGCGGUCUGUCGCGUCUGCUGUGAAAAUCCAGGGCUCAACCCUGGACCUGCAGUGGGUACGGGCAGACUAGAGUGCGGUAGGGGAGAUCGGAAUUCCUGGUGUAGCGGUGAAAUGCGCAGAUAUCAGGAGGAACACCGGUGGCGAAGGCGGAUCUCUGGGCCGUAACUGACGCUGAGGAGCGAAAGCAUGGGGAGCGAGCAGG
rnacentral:rRNA from 1 species